GCUGCGGCUGUUCAGGUUGCACAGUGAAAUUCAUUGAAUCGACCCGAGCGAACAUCAUAUAAAAUUGAUGCCCUGCUGUCUACCCGACAACAACAACAACAAACUGAAGCAGACCCCGCCCGUACUUCGUGAGCUCCUGGUGACUGUCGGCUGGACUGUGCCGCCUGUACAGUAAAUAAUCUCAUGGACUUAUCGCUAAAUUAAUCCCAGAUUUCUGCCAAGGCUUUUUCCGCUUAACCACUUGACAUUGCGCUCCCUCCUUCGCUCUCUGUGUCCCUCUCGCUCUCGCAUGCGCUGUGCCUGUGUCUCCCUGGAGGUGCUUUGGCGCGUGCAACUGAGGCCAAAGGAAACUGAUAAGCAAGCAACAAAUCCCCACACAUGAGACUGGAUAAGGGAGCAAGUAAAAUGUAAAAACAACAAAAAAACAGAGGCAAGCCGUCCUUGAAGGGAUGC